UGCCAGCCGCCGCGGUAAUACGGAGGGUGCAAGCGUUGUUCGGAAUUAUUGGGCGUAAAGCGUACGUAGGCGGAUCAGAAAGUAUGGGGUGAAAUCCCGAGGCUCAACCUCGGAACUGCCUCAUAAACUCCUGGUCUUGAGUUCGAGAGAGGUGAGUGGAAUUCCAAGUGUAGGGGUGAAAUUCGUAGAUAUUUGGAGGAACACCAGUGGCGAAGGCGGCUUUCUGGUCCGUUACUGACGCUGAGGCGCGAAAGCGUGGGGAGCAAACAGGAUUAGAUA
rnacentral:rRNA from 1 species